GACGAACGCUGGCGGCGUGCUUAACACAUGCAAGUCGAACGGAAAGGCCCUGCUUUUGUGGGGUGCUCGAGUGGCGAACGGGUGAGUAACACGUGAGUAACCUGCCCUUUACGUUGGGAUAACUUCAGGAAACUGGUGCUAAUACCUGAUAGGAGCGCCUGCUGCAUGGUGGGGGUUGGAAAGUUUCGGCGGUUGGGGGUGGACUCGCGGCUUAUCAGCUUGUUGGUGGGGUAGUUGCUUACCAAGGCUUUGACGGGUAGCCGGCCUGAGAGGGUGACCGGCCACAUUGGGACUGAGAUACGGCCCAGACUCCUACGGGAGGCAGCAGUGGGGAAUAUUGCACAAUGGGCGGAAGCCUGAUGCAGCAACGCCGCGUGCGGGAUGACGGCCUUCGGGUUGUAAACCGCUUUCGCCUGUGACGAAGCGUGAGUGACGGUAAUGGGUAAAGAAGCACCGGCUAACUACGUG
rnacentral:rRNA from 1 species